AACGAACGCUGGCGGCAGGUCUUAGGCAUGCAAGUCGAACGGGUGUAGCAAUACAUCAGUGGCGCACGAGUGAGUAACGCGUGGGAAUUUGCCCAUCGGUGGGGAAUAACGUUUGGAAACGAACGCUAUACCGCAUACGUCGAGAAAUCGAGAAAGAUUUAUCGCCGAUGGAUAAGCCCGCGUUGGAUUAGCUUGCUGGUAGGGUAAUGGCCUACCAAGGCGAUGAUCCAUAGCUGGUCUGAGAGGACGAUCAGCCACGCUGGGACUGAGACACGGCCCAGACUCCUACGGGAGGCAGCAGCUAAGAAUAUUGGACAAUGGAGGAAACUCUGAUCCAGCCAUGCCGCGUGAGUGAAGAAGGCCUUCGGGUUGUAAAGCUCUUUUAGUCGUGAGGAUGAUGACGGUAGCGACAGAAAAAGCACCGGCUAACUUCGUGCCAGCCGCCGCGGUAA
rnacentral:rRNA from 1 species